CAUGCAGUUCGAGCGGCAGCGGGAAAGUAGCUUGCUACUUUUGCCGGCGAGCGGCGGACGGUUGAGUAAUGCCUGGGGAUCUGCCCAGUCGAGGGGGAUAACUACUGGAAACGGUAGCUAAUACCGCAUACGCCCUACGGGGGAAAGCAGGGGACCUUCGGGCCUUGCGCGAUUGGAUGAACCCAGGUGGGAUUAGCUAGUUGGUGAGGUAAUGGCUCACCAAGGCGACGAUCCCUAGCUGGUCUGAGAGGAUGAUCAGCCACACUGGAACUGACACACGGUCCAGACUCCUACGGGAGGCAGCAGUGGGGAAUAUUGCACAAUGGGGGAAACCCUGAUGCAGCCAUGCCGCGUGUGUGAAGAAAGCCUUCGGGUUGUAAAGCACUUUCAUCGAGGAUGCAAGGUUGGUAGCUAAUAACUGCCCUCUGUGACGUUACUCGCAAAAUAAUCACCGGCUAAUUCCGUGCC
rnacentral:rRNA from 1 species